CUAUGCGCCUUGCCAGCCCGCUCAGGUGUGCCAGCCGCCGCGGUAAUACGUAGGUGGCAAGCGUUGUCCGGAUUUACUGGGUGUAAAGGGCGUGUAGCCGGGCCGGCAAGUCAGAUGUGAAAUCCCAAGGCUCAACCUUGGAACUGCAUUUGAAACUGUUGGUCUUGAGUAUCGGAGAGGCAGGCGGAAUUCCUAGUGUAGCGGUGAAAUGCGUAGAUAUUAGGAGGAACACCAGUGGCGAAGGCGGCCUGCUGGACGACAACUGACGGUGAGGCGCGAAAGCGUGGGGAGCAAACAGG
rnacentral:rRNA from 1 species